UCGCAAGACCUUGCGCUUUUGGAGCGGCCGAUGUCUGAUUAGCUAGUUGGUGAGGUAAAGGCUUACCAAGGCUUCGAUCAGUAGCUGGUCUGAGAGGACGACCAGCCACACUGGGACUGAGACACGGCCCAGACUCCUACGGGAGGCAGCAGUGGGGAAUUUUGGACAAUGGGGGAAACCCUGAUCCAGCCAUGCCGCGUGAGUGAAGAAGGCCUUCGGGUUGUAAAGCUCUUUCAGCCGGAACGAAAAGGUUACGGUUAAUACCCGUGACUAAUGACGGUACCGGAAGAAGAAGCACCGGCUAACUACGUGCCAGCAGCCGCGGUAAUACGUAGGGUGCGAGCGUUAAUCGGAAUUACUGGGCGUAAAGCGUGCGCAGGCGGUUUUGUAAGUCAGAUG
rnacentral:rRNA from 1 species